rnacentral:rRNA from 2 species
UCGCUUGUCUCAAAGAUUAAGCCAUGCAUGUCCGAGUCCUUGCUUUCUGAAAAGCGAAACCGCGAACAGCUCAUUAAAUCGGUUACGGUUCAUUGGACGGUUGUCCCGGGCCGCGGUUGCCCGAACAUUCGGAUAACCGUGGCAAUUCUAGAGCUAAUACGUGCACACGAGGCUCCCCUCCCUGCGACCGCUCCGGCGGGCGUAGGGGCGGGGCCGGCAUUUAUCAGUCUUUCGCGAGGUCGGGGGCUCCGGCUCCCGCCUCCGCUACGGACGGCUCUGGAUAACGGGUGAGGCGGAUCGGCUCCGGCCGACGCGGCCUUUGAGUGUCCGCCUUAUCAACUGUCGACGGUAGGCUCAGCGCCUACCGUGGUGGUAACGGGUGACGGGGAAUCAGGGUUCGAUUCCGGAGAGGGAGCCUGAAAGACGGCUACCACAUCCAAGGAAGGCAGCAGGCACGCAAAUUACCCACUCCCGGCAAGGGGAGGUAGUGACGAAAAAUACCGAUACGGGACUCUUAACGAGGCCCCGUAAUCGGAAUGAAUCGGCCGUAAAUCCUCUAGAAGAGGACCUAUCGGAGGGCAAGUCUGGUGCCAGCAGCCGCGGUAAUUCCAGCUCCGAUAGCGUAUAUUAAAGUUGUUGUGGUUAAAAAGCUCGUAGUUGGAUUUGGGUCGACCGGGCCGACGGGCCGCCGCCUCCGCGCGGCGGAUCCCGCUCGGCGUCGGGACCGUACGGUCCGCCCCCGCGGUGCUCUUGACUGAGUGUCCGAGGGGCGGCCGAACGUUUACCUUGAAAAAAUCAGAGUGCUCGAGGCGUGGGCGGGCUUCGGCCCAGAUGCUCUCGCGGGGAAUAAUGGAAGAGGACCGUUGGUCUGAGCGGCCGACCCCUCCCGCGAGGGACGGGGGAGGCGCGGCGGACGCCCUGACGCGUCAUGAUUAAGAGGGACUGCCGGGGGCAUUCGUACCGUGGCGCGAGAGGUGAAAUUCUAGGACCGUCACGAGACGAACCGUAGCGAAAGCAUUUGCCAAGAAUGUUUUCCUUAAUCAAGAACGAAAGUCGGAGGUUCGAAGGCGAUCAGAUACCGCCCUAGUUCCGACCUUAAACCGUGCCGUCCGACCGCCCGCCAGGGUUACUACCGCGACUCGGCGGGCGGUCUCCCUCGCCCGGGAAACCCUUAAGUUUCCGGGUUCCGGGGGAAGUACGGUCGCAAAGCUGAAACUUAAAGGAAUUGACGGAAGGGCACCACCAGGAGUGGAGCCUGCGGCUUAAUUUGACUCAACACGGGGAACCUCACCCGGCCCGGACACCGUGAGGAUUGACAGACCGAGAGCUCUUUCUCGAUCCGGUGGGUGGUGGUGCAUGGCCGUUCUUAGUUGGUGGAGCGAUCUGUCUGGUUAAUUCCGAUAACGAACGAGACUCUAGCCGGUUAAGUAGCCCGCGCGGCGAUUCCGACCGCGAGGUCGGGAAAGCCUCCGCUCUCCCUCCCGCCCCGCUGCCGGUCCGGAAGGUGGCUUCGCCGCCCCCUCUCCGCGGCGGAAGGCGGCGCGGGAAGCGAGGAGACGCCGCCGGCUUACGAGUGAAAGAGCUUCUUAGAGGGACGAGCGGCGUUCAGCCGCGCGAGAUUGAGCGAUAACAGGUCUGUGAUGCCCUUAGAUGUCCGGGGCCGCACGCGCGCUACACUGAAGGGGUCAACGCGCCGUACUUUUUCCCGGGCCGAAAGGCUCGGGGAACCGGCGGAACCCCGCGGUCCGUAGCGUUCGUGCUAGGGACAGGGACUUGCAAUUGUGUCCCUCGAACGAGGAAUUCCCAGUAGGCGCGAGUCAUCAGCUCGCGCCGAUUACGUCCCUGCCCUUUGUACACACCGCCCGUCGCUACUACCGAUCGAACGAUUUAGCGAGGUCUUCGGACCGGCCCGAGGGGAGGAUCUCCGGCGGACGCGGUCUCGGCCCGUCCCCGGUCACCCCCUCCCCUUUCGGCCGGAAAGAUGCCCGAACUUGAUCGUUUAGAGGAAGA